rnacentral:rRNA from 1 species
GACGAACGCUGGCGGCGUGCUUAACACAUGCAAGUCGUACGGUAAGGCCCUUUCGGGGGUACACGAGUGGCGAACGGGUGAGUAACACGUGAGUAACCUGCCCACAACUUUGGGAUAACGCUAGGAAACUGGCGCUAAUACUGGAUAUGUGCUCCUGCUGCAUGGUGGGGGUUGGAAAGCUCCGGCGGUUGUGGAUGGACUCGCGGCCUAUCAGCUUGUUGGUGGGGUAGUGGCCUACCAAGGCGGCGACGGGUAGCCGGCCUGAGAGGGUGACCGGCCACAUUGGGACUGAGAUACGGCCCAGACUCCUACGGGAGGCAGCAGUGGGGAAUAUUGCACAAUGGGCGCAAGCCUGAUGCAGCAACGCCGCGUGCGGGAUGACGGCCUUCGGGUUGUAAACCGCUUUCAGCAGGGACGAAGCUUUUUGUGACGGUACCUGCAGAAGAAGCACCGGCUAACUACGUG